CCUACGGGGGGCAGCAGUGGGGAAUAUUGGACGAUGGGGGCAACCCUGAUCCAGCCAUGCCGCGUGUGUGAAGAAGGCCCUCGGGUUGUAAAGCACUUUCAGUGAGGAAGAACGCCUGGUGGUUAAUACCCAUCAGGAAAGACAUCACUCACAGAAGAAGCACCGGCUAACUCCGUGCCAGCAGCCGCGGUAAUACGGAGGGUGCGAGCGUUAAUCGGAAUUACUGGGCGUAAAGCGCGCGUAGGUGGCUUGAUAAGCCGGUUGUGAAAGCCCCGGGCUCAACCUGGGAACGGCAUCCGGAACUGUCAAGCUAGAGUGCAGGAGAGGAAGGUAGAAUUCCCGGUGUAGCGGUGAAAUGCGUAGCGAUCGGGAGGAAUACCAGUGGCGAAGGCGGCCUUCUGGACUGACACUGACACUGAGGUGCGAAAGCGUGGGUAGCAAACAGGAUUAGAUACCCCUGUAGUC
rnacentral:rRNA from 1 species